AGCCCGGUAGCGGAUGGUUCGCGCCUGCGCUCGGUUGCUCUUUGGUAAAGAAAUAUUCAUGCGGGAAUUGCUCGUUCGAAUCGAGCCUGGGCUA